GGUGUUUCUCAUAUGAGGCACCCCAGAAUCGGGUCCCCUCCUCUCUGGUUCUGGGUGUGUCACCUGAAAACCACA
rfam:Myotis davidii contig17440, whole genome shotgun sequence.